AUCUAGCUGACGAGUUCCAAAUAGGAUGAAACGCACAUCCUGAAU
rnacentral:hammerhead_ribozyme from 1 species